rnacentral:rRNA from 1 species
UACGUAGGGGGCAAGCGUUGUCCGGAAUCACUGGGCGUAAAGCGCGCGCAGGCGGGCAUCUACGUCUGGGGUGAAAGCCCGGAGCUCAACUCCGGGAUUGCCUUGGAUACGGGAUGACUUGAGGAUCGGAGAGGCAAGGGGAAUUCCACGUGUAGCGGUGAAAUGCGCAGAUAUCGGGAGGAACACCGGUGGCGAAGGCGGUUCUCUGGGCCUUACCUGACGCUGAGGAGCGAAAGCGUGGGGAGCAAACAGG